rnacentral:rRNA from 1 species
UUUCCCUCAGGAUAGCUGGCACUCGCUUGAGCGAGUCUCAUCUGGUAAAGCGAAUGAUUAGAGGCCUUGGGGCCGAAACGACCUCAACCUAUUCUCAAACUUUAAAUGGGUGAGAUCUCUGGCUUGCUUGAAUGAAUUUUAUUGAAGCCACGAGAUAUCUUGUUUCGGAUCAGAGUGCCAAGUGGGCCAAUUUUGGUAAGCAGAACUGGCGCUGUGGGA